rnacentral:rRNA from 1 species
UGGGGAAUUUUGGACAAUGGGGGAAACCCUGAUCCAGCCAUGCCGCGUGGGUGAAGAAGGCCUUCGGGUUGUAAAGCCCUUUCGGUGGGGACGAAACGGUGCGUGCUAACACCACGCACUACUGACGGUACCCACAGAAGAAGCACCGGCUAACUACGUGCCAGCAGCCGCGGUAAUACGUAGGGUGCAGGCGUUAAUCGGAAUUACUGGGCGUAAAGCGUGCGCAGGCGGUUUGCUAAGACAGGUGUGAAAUCCCCGAGCUUAACUUGGGAACUGCGCUUGUAACUGGCAAGCUAGAGUGUGGCAGAGGGGGGUGGAAUUCCACGUGUAGCAGUGAAAUGCGUAGAGAUGUGGAGGAACACCGAUGGCGAAGGCAGCCCCCUGGGCUAACACUGACGCUCAUGCACGAAAGCGUGGGGAGCAAACAGGAUUAGAUACCCUGGUAGUCCACGCCCUAAACUAUGUCAACUGGUUGUCGGGGAAGCAAUUCCUUGGUAACGAAGCUAACGCGUGAAGUUGACCGCCUGGGGAGUACGGCCGCAAGGUUAA